AUCUCCUCAUCAGAGGCUAUUCUAGCAGGCCUAACUGGCCUUCUUCGGAAACCCUGCGGGGGUGACGCCCUUGGGCAGCCCCAGGGCGUUGACGGCGGCCGGCGGCGGCUGCGAGUUGCUGGAUCUUCAGCGGGUCGGUCGCGUCCCGCCGCUGCCCGAGUCCGCGUCCGGAGAGAGCGGGAGCCGCUGAGGACUCCGCCUAUCCGUCUUUAUAAAUUUGCCCACGCACACGAAGCUUGCCGGAUCCACACCUGUGUCACAGCGGAGGACCCCAGGGCUCUUCCUCGCCUUGACAAUGUGUGGAAUCCUGGCUGGGAUGCCCCAGGUGAGCUGCCCAUACAGGUCAUCAGGGAGGCCUCCCCAAGCAGGAGCUGGCUGAGCAUCACGGGCAUAUCCCACCAGGCUGUGGGCAGUUCUGAGGGAGGAGAUGACCUGCUUCUGGCCCGGCUGUCAUUUUGGUGCUUGUCAUGGCAUCUGUUGUUCCUCUCAUGUCACAAUUUUAUAGAUGGCUUAUUUCCUGGCGGAAUGCAGGGGAAAAGAUUAGUAGGAACAUCGCCUCCUCUAUUUGCUGAGUCUAUUUACCCCUUCUGUGCUCCUAGGUGGUGACACCUCCAGGAAAGCAGGGCUUCAGCUGUCGCAGAGAUCACAAAAACCUGGCCUUCCUCACUGCUAACUCUGUUAAUGAUGGGCUAACUCUGCAGCUGGUAGGAGCAAGGAAUACAGUUGAAGCGUAUCUUCAAAUUCUAAUAUCUUUUAAAUGGCUUUUAAAAAUGUUGUUGGCCAGGCGCAGUGGUCCACGGCUUUAAUCCCAGGACUUUGGGAGGCUGAGGCAGGCAGAUCAUGGGAUCAGGAGUUCAAGACCAGCCUGACCAACAUGGUGAAACCUGUCUGUAUUAAAAAUACAAAAAAAUUUAGCCAGGCAUGUGAUCCUGGCUACUCACGAGGCCGAGGCAGGAGAAUCGCUUGAACCCAGGAGAUGGAGGUUGCAGUGAGCCAAGAUUGCACCACUGCACUUCAGCCUGGGCAGCAGAGUGAGACUUCAUCUCAAAAAAAAUAAAUAAAUAAAAGGAAAACAUUGUUAUUUUUUUUAUGUGAAAACCCAAAAUUCAUGGAUAAAGUUGGAAACCACCAUUCUCAGCAAACUGACACAAGAACAGAAAACGAAACACUGCGUGUUCUCACUCAUAAGUGGGGUUGAACAAUGAGAACACAUGGGUACAGGGAGGGGAACAUCACACACCAGCGCCUGUCAAGGGGUCGGGGGCUAAAGGAGGGAGAGCAGUGGGUGGGGAGAUUGGGAGGAGAAAUACCUAAUGUAGAGGACCGGGAGAUGGAUACAGCAAACCACCAUGGCACGUGUAUACCUAUGUAACUUCCUGCAUGAUCAGCAUAUGUACCCCAGAACUUAAAGUAUAAUUUUUAAAAUAAUAAAUAAAUAAAUAAAUGAAAGUACAUUUCACAAGGUCACCUUUUGUGAGCACACCACAGCUGCGUGCGAACGCCCCCUCAGCAGCAGUUGCUUCUCCAGGGUCUUCAGCCAUGAUCCUGCUCCCCUCAUGGGAUCAGCUGCCCUCCUUCUUUAGGACAGGUCCAGGCUCCUCUUCAGUCUCCCCCAUUGGUCUCUGAGUCAGGGGCCUGGCUCCCGAUGCUAUGUGAGUUCAGCAAAGUGGAGCUCUACUUCCUUCACUGAGACGUUGGGAACCC
rnacentral:lncRNA from 1 species